UACGUAGGGGGCGAGCGUUGUCCGGAGUUACUGGGCGUAAAGGGCCCGCAGGCGGUGCGUCAAGUUCAGACUGACAAUCCCCGGCUUAACCGGGGAGGGUGUAUGAAAACUGGCGCACUUGAGGGAUAGAGAGGGACAUGGAAUUCCGGGUGGAGUGGUGAAAUGCGUAGAUAUCCGGAGGAACACCAAAGGCGAAGGCAAUGUCCUGGCUAUUUCCUGACGCUCAGGGGCGAAAGCUAGGGGAGCGAACGGG
rnacentral:rRNA from 1 species